GACGAACCGUGCGAACGUUAUUCGGAAUCAUUGGGCUUAAAGGGCUCGUAGGCGGCCAACUAAGUCCGACGUGAAAUCCCCAGGCUCAACCUGGGAACUGCGUCGGAUACUGGAUGGCUUGAAUUCGGGAGAGGGAUGCAGAAUUCCAGGUGUAGCGGUGAAAUGCGUAGAUAUCUGGAGGAAUACCGGUGGCGAAGGCGGCAUCCUGGACCGACAUUGACGCUGAGGAGCGAAAGCUAGGGGAGCAAACGGG
rnacentral:rRNA from 1 species